AGUGAAACAGAGAGAAAAUAGUAAUAUGUAUUAAAAUUCUCGAGAAACCACGAGCUUACAUAGACACGCACACACAUCAGUAGGAAAAUUCAUUUUACAUAGACCCUACAACUCGACGAACUAGUUUACUUGCAAUUAAAAUUAUAGGAAAGUAUAUUAAAUUAACCACAUUACACAAGCUUUCUGAUAAAAAUAUGAUAUAAUAAUUAAAACUUAUUUAAAUAAUUCCAUGCAGUUAAAUUCACGUUCAAAUGAAAUUUUUGGACUUCUGUUAAAUUCACCAAUGGGACUUCUAACUUGUAAAAUGUAAUCACUGGUUAUCUUUGAAGUACUUGUCCCAAACCCUAAAACCACUAAAAUUGAUCGCACGAUCUUAAUGAAUAUAGUGGAGUUGUAAUAAAUGAAUAUAUUCUCGGAUAUAACAUACUAGUAUAUUUUAGAGUUAGCUGCAACGAGUUUUUACGUGUUAUGUAGAUGUUCGACCGAAAUUAGGAAAAGAAAUGAUUUUUGAUUGUGUUAGAAAUGUGUCUAAAUUGUUAAUAUCGAAAUUAUUUCUAUAAUUUCAUAUGAUGUUCCUCAUAGAAAAGGAUUUUACUGCGUCACGACUAAAGAAUAAACGCUACGCAUCAUAAAUCAUUUGCUUCUUGAAUUUGUACUCAGUUUGAGAUAUAUAUCUAAGAUAAACUAAAAAUUCACAGAGAUAUCUAUGACACAAAUAAGCCUUGGCCACGGAUUCUUUUAGUUUUGAUUAGUAAUUGAUAUUAAAGCAAAAUUAUAAAGAAUUUUUUUAUCUAAUCGAAUUUUAUCAUCUGACAAUAAUCGGAUUCAAUCGCCAAAAACCCAAAUUUCAAAUCAAAUUUUUGAAGGAACUAUUUAGCUUAAAUUCAUACAUCUAAUAUAUUAUUGAUAUAUUAUGCUCCACGUCUCCAUUUAUUUGAAAAUAAAAAUCCUAGAUUUAAAAGUUGAAAUGUUCUUUUUUAAGCAAAAAUAAAUUCAAACAAGACACAAUCUUAUUCGAAAGAAUAAGAAAAAAACUUUAAUGGAACGCAAUAUAUAUAAUAAACGAGAAAAAAAAUCAAAUCUCGUUUUUCUUCGUUAUUCUGUACGUUCUUGAAAACAGGGCUUUCCCUGUUAGAGAAAUAGAGUUUUCGUUUAUUAAAAAAUUUACAUAUUUAGUGUAAUAAAAAUAUUCGUGAUUGUUUUUAUUGUUCGUUCGUUAAAAAUUAGUUCUCGAGCGAUUCAAAGUCUAUAUCUAAUUUGAAUAGUAUAUACAGGAGCUUAAAAGAUAAAUAAAGUGGAAGAAUGUGUAGAUUGCUUACAGAAGAAUAUUAUACCAUAAGAAAAGUCUAUUUUUAUAUGAAUUAAAAAAAUAAAACAUAAUCAUCCUUCAGAAGAUUAUUAUAAUGCGCAUUCCAUAAAUCAUACAGUCUCAUAAUAUCAUAAUAAUAUCGUUUAAACAGCAUCCUUUUCGUUUAAGAUUUAAUAAUUGAUAAAUUUUAUACUUACAAUUUUAAACCUGUAAUUUUUAUAUAUUUAAUUCUUACAUAUUUUGAUAAUAACAACUAAUGAAUAACCGACAACAACAAUUAUUAAUCACUCGACUAAACUUGCGUCCUUUAGAAGUUUUUAUUACCUAUUCACUGUAAAUCUAUAGCCUUAUCUGUUUAUAAAUAGAAGAGGGGAGAGAGAGAGAGAGAGAGAGAGAGAGAGAAAAGAUGUUAUCAAUUCUAUUUGUUACGACCUUCGUCGUUUACCUUAAAGGUAGAUGCGUAUAUUCCAGUUCAGUUUCAGAUCAGUCUCCGUACCGUCGACGUAAUUUACAUUAAAGGAGUUAUCUCGCGUUCGAUAAAUUCGCAGAGGCGUUGUCUAAGCAGAAUUCGAUGUAAGAAAAUCGAAACUCUCUUUCGUUAUCGAAUAAUUUAUUAUCAAGGGGUGAAGAACGAAGAGGUCACGGAGAGGAGCAAAUGGUGGAACGAAAGUGCAAAUUACAACUACGUAUUUCUAGAUUCGUUCGGUAUUCGUUCUUCCGUACGGGAAAAAGAUACCGGCUGAUUCCCGCUAGCUCGAUGGCACGGAAAAUGCAGGAAAUUGCACUCGCGGCGAAACGAGAAGCGUAAUUUAGAACAGACUGCUGCAACCUAGACUUUCUCCACUAGUGCGCUACCCUCUAAAAUGUUCCAUCUUUCUCUCUCUUACACACUCUUCUUUGGAUAGGCUCACGUUUCGAACUUGAGUCGAGUACUCGACUACGCCUACGAAUACGGAAGAGGAAGAGAAAGAGAAAGGGAGAGAAAGAGAAAGAGAGACAGAAGAUGUCACCAGUGCUAGCAGCUCUUGUAGUUUUUGUAGGUGGACCCGAUCUUUGUGGAUCUUGUCGUGGCCUGCAAUAGAUGAUUUUCCGGAAAGCUUUUCGGAAAUUAUCGCUGAGAAAAGCGUAAAGGAUGGGGUUGACGCAGCUAUUGGUAUACGCCAGGAUAUGACUCGCUAUCUGGACCAUAAUCGUCGCUGACUUUAAAGGAUAUGCCUCUAAAGACUUCGUAACUAAUAUUACCUGUAAAAAUAAAUAGAUAAUUCUUUUUUUUUUUAAGUACCUAUACGUUAACCAAAACAAUUUGCUGAGAUUAAAUGAUUACGAUAGUAGAAGUACGAACGAUAUUCAUCUACUCAAAAAAUGGAUAUAUUACAUAGUACACCUAUAUUAAUUAAAUGUUUUUUCGUUUCAAUUAAUUCAUUAUAGAGGAUUGGUUAAUCAAGAAUUACUAUGAUUGUUUCAGUUAAAUAAUUAAAUCUAUCAUAUUGAUGGAUAAAAUCGUCAUUGGCCUAAUUUAUUUUGUAAAAAUAUUUAAGUCUUGAAAAGGUAAAAAAUAUUUAACUCACCUGGAUCGGACACCAACAUAUAGCGAAAACUCCUACAACGACGAGAACCAAACGAGUAACUCGUCUUCUCCCUCGUCGACUCUCGGCACUAACACGAGCACCACGCCAUAGUCUGACAAGCAUACAGACGUAAAAGACGCAUAUCAACGUCAAUGGCAGCAAGUAACUCGUUAGGAAGAAGGAUACCUGGAAAAAGGACCAAUCAUAUUGCGGUAGGAUCCGACAAGCCGUCGACGAGUUGUCCAAGUCCUGAAACGUAAAGCGAAUCUACAUACAUAAGGGAACGACUCUCGUGAGAGAAAAGAGGCUAUGAAUUAGGGAAGAUAAGAGACAUCGAAAGAUCAAAUUUUGUAACAAAUUUCAGUAAAUCAUUGAAUCGAAUA